AACCUUUUAACUAUAAAUAAGUAUGUACUUUGAAAGUACAAAAAAGAUUACAUCUAAAGGUUU
rnacentral:tRNA from 1 species